GGGGAUUUGGCUCAGUGGUAGAGCACUUGCCUAGCAAGUGCAAGGCCCUGGGUUCAGUCCUCA
rnacentral:tRNA from 1 species